UUAUCCUAGAGCAGACUUCUAAAACUGGUGAGGUAAAGUCCACUGUAGCUUUCUUCAAACUAAAUUUAUGCUGAAAAUAAGGUUUAAUCAGCAAUUACAUUAUAUACUGUUGCUCUGCACAAGUCUGACAGAGCAGUCUCCUCACCCAUGAAAUGGCUGAAAUAAAGAAGUAAAGCAAAUAUAUAAUGAACAGCGCUUUAUUUAAGAGGCGAGUGGCCACACAAGGUACACCUCCCAGCAGAUAAGGUGGAAUCCUUCCUCACCUCGUCCCUACCAGCUCCUGGCUCUAGCUGUGGCCCCAGGAACAGACCUGCCGACCAGCUACUCCACUGUCCUCUAAUGGCUAGUGACAGACACAAGAUAGGAGCAAGGAAAAGCCCAUAACAGAAAGACAGGACAAGUUUACUCCAGCAUCAGGUCCCAAUCCUUAAUAGUUAGAGCUGGCCAGAGUACCUCAGAAGACGACCUACUAUCAUUUCUAAAACAUAUAUUGACUUUUUAAAAUYUGGAUGUUCCUAUCGGCCAUAUAAAUUUCAACGCUUGUUAAUACUGCUGAAUUCUUGACUUAAAUGCCUUCCCAAGUAAUGUGUUCCACAGUCUAGUUGCCCAGUGCCUGAAAGGUAUUUUCUGAAAUCAAUUUCAGUCUUUCAUAACUGAAAGCUUAUCUGUCACAAAAUGUGUCCUCCAGUUGUUCCUGAUGGAAAGAUUGCCAAAUCAGCUCGCAAGGAAGGUGGCUGCCCAUGCCGUGGGGAUACAGCAGAGCUCGGAGCAUCUAAGAGAAAUACGUGAGUGGGGCAGGAUGGCUCACCCAGACCACAGCCUCCACGGCCACCCCGUGCAGAUGGGCAACUUCUCCAUUCCUGAGUUCCUCCUGCCAGGACAAGCUGAGCUGCCAGGCUGGACUUGGGUGCCAGAUGCACCCCAAAACCAAAAGAAGAGGUACAUUGGGGAUACUCCUUUUCUCACUGGUGGCCACAUGAUGCUUAAGUCACUCCUAAGCAUCAUACCAAAGACUGGUGGGCCUUGCAAGCCCUAUCAGUGCAUCGGGCUUAGCAAGUAUAAAAGAUGUGGUUGACCACUGCGCGCAAUGUUUUACGGAGAAAGAGUGUUAGUAGACAGACCUUUUAGUGAGCACCGCAAGAAAGGCCAUUUAGCUGGAGGAAGGGAAAACAAGGCAAUGAAGAUGGAUAGGAUGUGCAGUUGCAGGUUCUCAUCUGCCUUGCAGCAUGACUAGGUAGAGCUGACAAGGAUGAAGUGGUAGGAGCAAAGUGGAAAUUUCCUUUGCCUUGCAGGGAGAAUGAGAACACCCGCAGAAGCCUUCCCAACACCAGCAGGGCACAGGAGAGUUGUCAGAGUGGUGGGAUAGCUACGGAAUUUGUCUUGGUGCUGGCUUUGUGCAAGUGGCGCUGACUCACCAGAGCAAUUCUGGACUCGGGGGCUUUCCAAAAGGCCAAGGCUGAAAUCCCCAGGGAUGUCAGUCUAGACAGGGUGCUCUUCCCUUUGACCUCAUUGGGGGCCUCAGCUUCCUCUUUAUGCAAGUAACUCCAGCUGCCAGGACAGGUUAUUUUGAGCUUCAGAACAGUUAUGAAAGAGCAAUGUGCUGAGGGUUGGAGGAAAAAGAUGCUCUCGUCGUAAGUAUCUUUUUCAGACCACACUUGUACCAGGCUAGUCCUUGCCACUGCUCACAGGAAAGAAUUUUUAUGGCUAAGAUAUUCUAAAGAAACUCAAACAGCCUGAGAAAAGCUCCUUGUCUGACCCUGGGUGAGAGCUUGUAAAGUGAACUCUGAUCCCCCAGGACAACUGGAGGGAAAUCCCAGCCAUCAAAUCCUCUGACAAUUGACAAAGGAGGGACUGCAAAUUAAUCCUGCUCCCCUCACAUCUGAG
rnacentral:lncRNA from 1 species